CACCAUAAUGGGGUCACUAUAAUAGGGUCACUAUAAUAGGAUCACCAUAUUGGGGUCCACAAUGGGGUCACCCUAAUGGGGUCACUGUAAUGGGGUCUCCAUAAUGGGGUCACCAUAAUGGAGUCCCUAUAGUAGGGUCCCCUCAAUGGGGUCUCCAUAUUGGGGUCCACAAUGGGGUCACUCUAAUAGGGUCACCAUAUUGGGGUCACCUCAAUGGGGUCACCAUAAUAGGGGUCACCGUAUUGGGGUCCCUUAAUAGGGUCACCUCAAUGGGGUCGCCAUAUUGGGGUCCACAAUGGGGUCACCCUAAUAGGGUCACCACAAUAGGGGUCACCAUAAUGAGGUCACCAUAUUGGGGUCCCUUAAUGGGGUCACCACAAUAGGGGUCACCAUAAUGAGGUCUCCAUAUUGGGGUCCCUCAAUGGGGUCACUAUAAUAGGGUCACCUCAAUGGGGUCACCCUAAUAGGGUCACCAUAUUGGGGUCACCUCAAUGGGGUCACCAUAUUGGGGUCCCUGUAUUGGGGUCCACAAUGGGGUCACCAUAAUGGGGUGACCAUAUUGGGGUCCACAAUGGGGUCGCCAUAAUAGGGUCAUCUCUAUGGGGUCCCUCAAUGGGGUCUCCAUAAUGGGGUCACCUCAAUGGGGUCAUCACAAUGGGGUCCACAAUGGGGUCACCAUAAUAGGGUCACCUCAGUGGGGUGACCAUAUUGGGGUCCCCUCAAUUGGGUCACUAUAAUAGGGUCACCAUAUUGGGGUCCCUUAAUAGGGUCACCUCAAUGGGGUCACCAUAAUGGGGGCACUAUAAUAGGGUCUCAAUAAUAGGGUCACCUCAAUGGGGUCACCAUAUUGGGG
rnacentral:lncRNA from 1 species